GGCCUGUUAGCUCAGCUGGUUAGAGCGUGGUGCUAAUAAUGCCAACAUCAUGGGUUCGGUCCCCACAGGGGCCA
rnacentral:tRNA from 1 species